UCUUUCCUUUAUUUUCAUUAAAGAAAGAAAAAAAGAAAGAAAGAAACGCGGAUGUAUUGGAAAUAUUCAGCAAUCAAACAGCGCUCAAUGUCACCAUCAAACAUCUACUUCUGCAUAUUCACGCCAUAAUCACCUUUUCCCACCGAAACGAAAACGUGCGGAGUCGGCCUUUUCUCGCCAAAGCCGAGGUAGCUGGCACGGUCACCGAGUUCAAGGACUGGCGUAACACUGGCGCGAGCAGCGCCUUCCUUUAAACUCUUCGUGCGACUAGCGAAGCGGCAGAUCUCGUGGCUCAAGUUAACCAAUAAGACAACGCCUGCACACGGCACUUAAGAGCCAGGCCGGUGAUUUGGCGCGCACUCGGUGCUUGCAGAAGCGGCGGAGACGCCGGGCCUGGCGGUCGCUACUAACCCUCUCUCCCCUUGUGUUACUAUGGUCUUGCGGAGGGAUAAAUUUGCCGCGCAACGGUUGCGUCAUGUGAUUUGGUCGUGGACCGGUUGGACGAUUCGACAAGACAAGCUGCUUCCUGUUCUUCGGCAGCUUACAUAUCGAUGUGUUCCAAAACUCUUGUCUUGUGAUGUUCGUCGACGAAACUUUGAGGGUAUAUUGUGCGGAGUUGAGAUGGCUGCCCAUGCGGUUCGCCGGUGCAAACCUUGAGAACGCACAGCAAGGCUUCUAAAUAAUUCUUCAGAUCUUCCUGCAGAAGAGCUGGUUAGGUGUCCCGCGCAUGGCUCAUCAUGGCAGGCUUGCAAAAUGUAUUGGCGCAGUGCCGACAGCACGACAAGGAGGUACGUAUUGGGACUGCUUCUGCAGUUUUUCCUGUAACGGACAUUGUUAUGCAAGUAGUACGAUGAUAAGCUGCGCACGAGCGUGUGGGGUAGAACACCUUCAACUCCUUGAAGGUGCUCGAUCAGCGGCAGCAGCUCAGGGUCAGCGUACUGGUGUUUAGUCAUUUUUAUGGCAUCUAUAACGUCGACACCGUUUUUAUGGUGUGUCUAACGCCGACAAUUGGCGAGUCAUGGUCAGGGUCAGAUGACCUUGUAGGGAGUGGUGCGCGUGACACAGUCAGCGUCACUGUGCUUCCAGAUCGGUAGACAACUGUAAUGUUGUACUCUUGUAAGCGCAGGCUCCAACGGGCUAGUCUGCCUGAAGGAUCCUUGAGGUUGGCAAGCCAGCACAGCGCAUGGUGGUCACUGACUGCCUUAAAGGGUCUACAGUACAAGUACGGUCGGAAUUUACUAAUGGCAACCGCUAAGCUUUUUUUUUUCGGUGGUUGAGUAGUUUUUCUUGGCCUUGGUGAGACUGCGGCUUGCAUAAGCAAUAGUGCAUUCCGUACCAGCUUGGCACUGCACAAGAACUGUGCAGAGACCCGCAUUGCUGGCGUCAGUAUGAAUUUCAGUGUCAGCGUCUACGUCGAAAUAAGCAAGUAUUGGGGCCUCUUGCAAACGGUUGCGCAAUUCAUUUAAUGACUGCUGCUGCUCGUCCGCCCAAAUGAAAGGCACAUUGUCGCGUGUAAGCCGUGUCAGAGGCUCAGCAAUUCUCGAGAAUCCCUCGACGAAGCACCUAUAAUAUGCGCACAAACCAAGAAAGCGUUGGAUAGCCUUCUUGUCUGUGGGUGGCGAAAACUCGGCGACGGCAGCUAGCCUGUCGGGGUCUGGUCGGACGCCUUGAGGACCAACGACAUGGCCAAGAAAUUUGAGCUCUUGGAACCCAAAGUAGCAUUUUCCAGGCUUGAUGGUGAGGCCGGUAGUACGGAUCGCAGUGAGGACACUCAAGUCAGGCGAGAUGUUUGUCAAACAUGCUCGAGAACACGACGUCGUCCAAGUAUACGAGGCUAGUUUGCCACUUGAGUUCAGCAAGCACGGUAUCCAUCAUCGGCUGAAAGGUGGCAGGUGCGGAACAGAGACCGAAGGGGAGAGCUUUGAACUCGUAAAGCCCGUCAGGUGUCACAAACGCUGUUUUUCACGAUCCUGUUCAUCAACUUCAAUUUGCCAAUAUUCGGAUUUAAGAUCAACGAAGAAAAAAACUUGGCAUGUUGUAGAUGAUCCAAUGCGUCGUCGAUGCGUGGCAAUGGAUAAACAUCGCGCUUGGUGACAUGGUUCAACUUUCUGUAAUCUACACAGAAGCGUAGUGUGUUGUCUUUCUUUCUGACUAACAGUACAGGGGAAGCCCAUGGACUUGUAGAUGGCUGGAUCACGUCGUCUUGGAGCAUCUCUUUCACCUGAUGCCUGGUCGCUUCUCUUUCCACUGGAGACACUCUGUAAGGAUGCUGACGAACAGGAUGUGCAGAAUCGUCUGUAAUAAUGCGGCGCUUUGUGAUGGACAUGCGCCGCACUUUGGAUGACGUUGAAAAACAGUCCGCAAAUUCGUUCACGAGACUCAACAGAUGGCCUUUCUGACGGUCUGGCAGAGCUGCGUUAACGUGAAUCUGUUCUUUUAGGCAAAGUUUAAAGUGUGUGGGUUAAUUGCGGCCUUUGCACUAAAUUCUUCCGGUGCACCUAAGUACCGUAAGUGUGUUUCACGAAUGUAUAAUUUAGCCUGCUCUCCUGAGAGAACUAUAACAGCCAUACAAGUUAAAUUUGUUGAAAAUGGGGAGACUAAUAGCGGCUCAUAUCCAUGCUAACUGAAAUGUUUGUGAGUGAAGCAUUUUGCUAAAAAAGGAAGAAAGCGCUCGAAUGCACUGUUUACAGGCAAUGUUUGAAAGUGAAGUCGUAGGCGGCCAAUAUUUUAUGGUGUGUGGCUUAAUUACUGGCAACUGAAAUCUUACAUGCAACUACUCAAAAGAAACAGCUUCACUGAAAAUUGGGCCCUGAUUGUGCCAGGUUGCAUAAGCCAGCUGUCUGUCAAUUGGAAGUUGAGUGAAUCAAGUACAAACGUCUUCAAAAUAAAUAACUAGCAGAAGCCUGGAAGGAUUAGAAGGAUGUUCCAGUUUGUAACUGUGCAUUAAAAUGAUACUAGACAAGUUAGAAUGACAUUUAUAGAACACAAAUAUGAAAAGUAGGGAGAGUGUGAAAUUGCCAAACUUUAGCUAGAAAUGCAUUCACAUCUAGAGGAAUGGCUAAAGUAGCAGGCUUGUGAAGUAUGCGUUGCCAUGUUCCUAAUAACUUUGUCAUCCAUAUGUUGUCUCUGUCUACUACGGUAAUGCUGGUUGUGGAAUUCUAGAAACAUGCACAGGUGUUCCGCUCUCCGGGUUUCAUGCAGCGCCAAGCCUUUUAUUAUCACCCAAAGUCCAGACACCCUCUCUUAAGACCGCCACGCCGAACUUCCUCCCGUAUCAACCACAGCAACGCCAUAGCAUGACUUAACAGCCGUACUUCAUCAAUGCUAACCUCAUUCUUUCCUCAAGCAAUAACCCACUGAAACAGUCUACCCGAUCGAUACCAUAGCCUCAUGCACUGACAGCGAACUAUUCCGGAAAAAAUUAAUCAGCCAUAUUCCAUUGUACAUGCAUAGCUAAUGUGUUUCAUGCUCUUGCUGUAUGGAAAUCUACUGCUGUAUUUUUAGGCUGUUGUAUCUCUGCACUUUUGUGCUGUAUUUUUUUAGCUAUUUCUAUUUUUGUAUCUGCUGUUACACUUGUACCUCUGUACUUCACUGUACUGAUACUGUACCUCUGUAGCCGUGUCAUAUGUUCCUCUAUGCCUCCCCCCCCCUCUUAUGUAAUGCUCUCGGGCCUUUAAGGUGGAAAUAAAUUAAGUGAAAUGACCCCCCCCCCCCACAAAUGAAAUUACCAAGCACCAGCACUGUGAAAUAGUGUUUGAUUAGUGCAUCAAGGUGCCAACUACACAUUAUUGUAGGAGAAUCAGUUUACAUUCUAGUGGUGCUGGCGGGCUAUGUUUUGUUCUUGUUCACCCUCUCAUGAUGACAAAUCAGAUAGUGGCCUGACGAAAAUGGCUGUGAAUGUUGUGUAUAAAGUUUAUUCCCCUUCUUUCUUUCGGAUGUGAACGCUGACAUGACCAGCUAGACCAUUGUGUACUCUGUUCACAUCACCACCUUUGCUGUAUAUAAAAUAAAUCUCACUUAGUGCACAGGAUGCUGCUCAAUGAAGGUGGCACUAGCAAUUAGAUUUUGGUCGUUCUCAUGUCUCAUCAUGUAAACUUGAAGAUAUUUUUGUAUUUUAUAAAGGUUCAAGGACAUAACUGUUAAUUACAAGUUCCCACAACACUUGCUCAUUUAUCUUUUUUUUUUCAAUGUGUAUGUAUGCUUCACAUUUAAAAUAAAUGUUUGUUGGAAACCAG